rnacentral:piRNA from 1 species
UGAGGCCUCCUGGAAGCUGAAAUGG